AGCCUCUUCAUUCUGCACCAUCUCCUUGCUCACCCCCCCUCCAAAUCCCCCCAGCUCCUAGUGCUGCUUCUGCAAGCACUGCUUCACCCCCUGGUGGCGAAGAGGAGCAGCAGCAGUCUGCUGACGUAGAGGAGCCGCUCACAGCAGAGGCUGAAGCCAGAAGCCACACCCCCUCAGAGUUUCCCAGGGAUCGAAUUAGACCAUGCCGGGCCCCCCCUCCUCCACCCACCAGCUGUACUUAGAUGGGAGACGUUAAACUUCACAGGAAGAAGCAGAGCUGCAGUGGUUGGCCUCCUUCAUGUCCUCAGAGAUGUUUUCCUGCCAU